AUGCACGCUGGCGGCGUGCCUAAUACAUGCACGUCGAGCGAACGGACGAGAAGCUUGCUUCUCUGAUGUUAGCGGCGGACGGGUGAGUAACACGUGGAUAACCUACCUAUAAGACUGGGAUAACUUCGGGAAACCGGAGCUAAUACCGGAUAAUAUUUUGAACCGCAUGGUUCAAAAGUGAAAGACGGUCUUGCUGUCACUUAUAGAUGGAUCCGCGCUGCAUUAGCUAGUUGGUAAGGUAACGGCUUACCAAGGCAACGAUGCAUAGCCGACCUGAGAGGGUGAUCGGCCACACUGGAACUGAGACACAGUCCAGACUCCUACGGGAGGCAGCAGUAGGGAAUCUUCCGCAAUGGGCGAAAGCCUGACGGAGCAACGCCGCGUGAGUGAUGAAGGUCUUCGGAUCGUAAAACUCUGUUAUUAGGGAAGAACAUAUGUGUAAGUAACUGUGCACAUCUUGACGGUACCUAAUCAGAAAGCCACGGCUAACUACGUG
rnacentral:rRNA from 1 species